rnacentral:rRNA from 1 species
CGUACUGUUGAAUUGCAGAAUUCAGUGAAUCAUCGAAUCUUUGAACGCACAUUGCGCCCCCUGGUAUUCCGGGGGGCAUGCCUGUUCGAGCGUCAUUUCACCACUCAAGCCUCGCUUGGUAUUGGGCAACGCGGUCCGCCGCGUGCCUCAAAUCGUCCGGCUGGGUCUUCUGUCCCCUAAGCGUUGUGGAAACUAUUCGCUAAAGGGUGUUCGGGAGGCUACGCCGUAAAACAACCCCAUUUCUAAGGUUGACCUCGGAUCAGGUAGGGAUACCCGCUGAACUUAAGCAUAUCAAUAAGCGGAGGAAAAGAAACCAACAGGGAUUGCUCUAGUAACGGCGAGUGAAGCAGCAAUAGCUCAAAUUUGAAAUCUGGCGUCUUCGACGUCCGAGUUGUAAUUUGUAGAGGAUGCUUCUGAGUGGCCACCGACCUAAGUUUCCUUGGAACAGGACGUCAUAGAGGGUGAGAAUCCCGUAUGCGGUCGGAAAGGCGCUCUAUACGUAGCUCCUUCGACGAGUCGAGUUGUUUGGGAAUGCAGCUCUAAAUGGGAGGUAAAUUUCUUCUAAAGCUAAAUAUUGGCCAGAGACCGAUAGCGCACAAGUAGAGUGAUCGAAAGAUGAAAAGCACUUUGGAAAGAGAGUUAAAAAGCACGUGAAAUUGUUAAAAGGGAAGGGAUUGCAACCAGACUUGCUCGCGGUGUUCCGCCGGUCUUCUGACCGGUCUACUCGCCGCGUUGCAGGCCAGCAUCGUCUGGUGCCGCUGGAUAAGACUUGAGGAAUGUAGCUCCCUCGGGAGUGUUAUAGCCUCUUGUGAUGCAGCGGGCGCCGGGCGAGGUCCGCGCUUCGGCUAGGAUGCUGGCGU